rnacentral:sRNA from 1 species
CAGAUCUGUGUGCCUGUGGAGUCCUCAAGCCCCCUGGUGAUGAGUAACCAGAAGGAGGUGCUGCGCUGCUUCACUGUGCUGGCCUGCAGCUCGCCUGACCGCCUACUGGCCUUCCUGCUGCCCAGGCUGGACACCAGCAAUGAGAGGACCCGCGUGGGCACCCUGCAGGUGGUCAGACAUGUCAUCAACUCGGCUGUAAUUUCAUAGAAUAUCCUGAUGUUGGUCCUGCAGUCCCCUGCAGUUAGAACAGAGCCCUGCUCCUCACCACGGCCUUUCUGCUCCCACCAGCUCCCUGGGCCAUCCUCCCACCAUGGACCCCUCCUUGGCCACACUCGCUGCCUGAUGUUGGAGGCUCUUCCAGCCUGGAAUCAUCUUUCUGUGGUUUCCACAUAGCCAGCUCUCUUCCUUUGAGUCUUAGCUUCAGGGUCACUUUUCAGAAUAGCCCUUGGUGUUGACCCCCUUCUUCCAAUGCGACACCCCCAUGAAUAUGUUUCUCAGCCUCUCGUCUGCACCUCUCCUGAUGCUGCCACAGUGUGUGGUGAUCUUAUUUACUGUCCAGUUGUCUUUGUGUCUUUUCCAUUAGGACAUAAGCCACUUGAGGGCAGGCGCCAUCUGCCUUGUAAAGGGCCUGGCAGGGAGUUGGCCUCCCCAUAAACUUGAGGAGUGAAUAAAAUAUUGC